UACAGAGGGGGCAAGCGUUAUUCGGAAUUAUUGGGCGUAAAGGGCGCGUAGGCGGUUCUUCAAGUCUCUCGUGAAAUCCCUCGGCUUAACUGAGGACGUGCGGGAGAUACUGAAGGGCUUGAGUCCGGAAGAGGGUGGUGGAAUUCCCAGUGUAGCGGUGAAAUGCGUAGAUAUUGGGAGGAACACCGGUGGCGAAGGCGGCCACCUGGGCCGGAACUGACGCUGAGGCGCGAAAGCCAGGGGAGCGAACGGG
rnacentral:rRNA from 1 species